rnacentral:rRNA from 1 species
UACGGAAGGCAGCAGUGGGGAAUAUUGCACAAUGGGCGAAAGCCUGAUGCAGCUAUGCCGCGUGUAUGAAGAAGGCCUUAGGGUUGUAAAGUACUUUCAUCGGGGAGGAAAAAACAAAACUAAUAAUUUUAUUUCUUGACGUUACCCGAAAAAGAAGCACCGGCUAACUCCGUGCCAGCAGCCGCGGUAAUACGGAGGGUGCUAGCGUUAAUCAGAAUUACUGGGCGUAAAGAGCACGUAGGUGGUUUUUUUAAGUCAGAUAUGAAAUCCCUGGGCUUAACCUAGGAACUGCAUUUUGAAACUGAAAUACUAGAGUAUCGUAGAGGGAGGUAGAAUUCUAGGUGUAGCGGUGAAAUGCGUAGAUAUCUGGAGGAAUACCUGUGGCGAAAGCGGCCUCCUAAACGAAUACUGACACUGAGGUGCGAAAGCGUUGGGGAGCAAACAGGGAUUAGAUACC